GAUGAACGCUAGCGGCAGGCUUAAUACAUGCAAGUCGAGGGACAGCACAGGUAGCAAUACUGGGUGGUAACCGGCAAACGGGUGCGGAACACGUACACAACCUUCCUUUAAGUGGGGGAUAGCCCAGAGAAAUUUGGAUUAAUACCCCGUAAUAUAGUUGAAUGGCAUCAUUUGAUUAUUAUAGCUACGGCGCUUAAUGAUGGGUGUGCGGCUGAUUAGAGAGUUGGCGGGGUAACGGCCCACCAAGUCUACGAUCAGUAGCUGAUGUGAGAGCAUGAUCAGCCACACGGGCAAUGAGACAAGGGCCCGACUCCUACGGGAGGCAGCAGUAAGGAAUAUUGGUCAAUGGACGCAAGUUUGAACCAGCCAUGCCGCGUGAAGGAUUAAGGUCCUCUGGAUUGUAAACUUCUUUUAUUUGGGACGAAAAAGGGCCUUUCUAGGUCAACUGACGGUACCAGAUGAAUAAGCACCGUCUAACUCCGUGCCAGCCGCCGCCGUAACAC
rnacentral:rRNA from 1 species